rnacentral:rRNA from 1 species
UACGUAGGGGGCAAGCGUUGUCCGGAUUUAUUGGGCGUAAAGCGCGUGUAGGCGGCUGGGUAGGUCCGCUGUGAAAACUCGAGGCUCAACCUCGAGACGUCGGCGGAAACCAUCCAGCUAGAGUCCGGAAGAGGAGAGUGGAAUUCCUGGUGUAGCGGUGAAAUGCGCAGAUAUCAGGAAGAACACCCGUGGCGAAAGCGGCUCUCUGGGACGGUACCGACGCUGAGACGCGAAAGCGUGGGGAGCGAACAGG